UUUUUGUGUUCUCUUUAACAAUACAAUCAAAGGUCUCUCUCUCUCUCUCCCUCUCCCUCCCUCCCUCCCUAUAUUGAUUUUGCAAAGAGUUCUUAUAGAAGCCUCACGCUACCUUCCCAACAAUAUUCAUUCAAAUACUAUAUAUGUUUGUAUAGCAUUAUUGAUUAUGGUGACAUGUUAUGAACGGAGUAGACAAACUAUGGCUUCAUUUUUCCAAGAUCCAUGGCGAGAUAACAAAACCAAUUUCACGGACUAUCAUGUUAGGCUCGAUCACGUGGAAUUCAUUACCAUUAUCUCAUAUUUCUGCGUCUUCUAUGAACUUUGCACCUUUGUUUGUUUUUGGAAGGAUCAACAUAAAUCUCAAACGAGUGUGAUUUCUUUGAUUAAGUAUGGGUACACUUGUCGGCACAAAACAAGAUGUUGUUGAAAAUUACCAAGAGAUGGGUUAUUUAAAUUAGGUUAAGGAUAUAAUAUUGGAGCUAAGCGUGGCGUAGAAUGAAUGGUUGCUCCUCAUGCAGAAAAUUAUACGCUGCCAUAUUAUAUCUCAGACAAUAUGUCUAUCUAAUUUGUACGCAAGUUAAUGCAGCAUAGCUAUAGAGGGAUUACUAUGACUUACUAUAACAUUUCUACUAAGUAUUUAUCUUAUAAAAGUUAUGCAUGUAUUAUGUACAAAGAAUAAUCGUAUUUUUUACUUUUUUAA